AUAUAUAUCAACCCUCUUCCUUGUUGAAGUGGUUUGGAUGUGGGAGGUUUGCUGGCCAUCUUGAAGGGUCAGCUCCCCUGAAAAGCAUUAGCAGAACAACCUGUGUUCAUUGGUGUGAUAACUAUCUACGCUUCUGAACGGUGAAGGCAGUUCAGCUUUCUAACCGUCCUUUGGACAAUCUAUCAUUU
rnacentral:misc_RNA from 1 species